rnacentral:rRNA from 1 species
GACGCCCCGUGCUAACGUUGUGCGGAAUCACUGGGCUGAAAGGGCGCGUAGGCGGUCGAUCAAGUCCGGGGUGAAAUCUUUCGGCUUAACCGGAAAAGUGCCUUGGAUACUGAUCGGCUGGAGGGAGGUAGGGGCAGCUGGAACUUCCAGUGGAGCGGUGAAAUGCGUUGAUAUUGGAAGGAACUCCGGUGGCGAAAGCGAGCUGCUGGACCUCUUCUGACGCUGAGUGCGCGAAAGCUAGGGGAGCAAACGGG